UAUCAGUGUUACUGCUUUCUGCUAUUCGACUGAUAUUAGUGUGUGCAGUUCGAGCGAAGAGUCCAGCUCAUUAUUUUGUAUAUUGAUUAAGUAUUAAUUCAUUGAAUCCAACAGGAUUUAAUUGCACUCCCUGCAAAUACAGGCAGUGCGACAGAUGUUAGAAAUUACAAUAAUCGUACAAUUAAUUAAUUACAAAAAUACAAUAAAACUACGACUACAAUUAAAGACGAAGGAUGUCGCAUUAUUGGAAAAUUAAUUACAAUAAAACUACAACUACUAUUAGAGACGAAGGAUAUUGUCAUCUUUGGAAACAAAUGAGUAUUUUCCAAACAAAUUUCACUCUAUUACGGACAAUUACGGAUCCUUUUAAACGAAGAUAGCAAACAAUUUUUAUGGUGAAAUCUGAACAUUCGGCUGGCUUGAUGUGACACAGCCGAAUUUCGAACAACAUCAGCUAUGCCGACAUCUUGCCUUCGAAGCAUCCAGUUUUUCUGUUCUUCCCAAGUUUAAUAACACUGUUUUCACGUAAUUGUUGAAAAAAAAUAUAUUGGCCACUUGUCAAGAAAAUGAUCUAUAGAGUUUAUUGAAUCGUGAGAAAUCAGACACAUUCUUUGAUAAAUCGACUAAUGCUCUGCUAUCUUAUAGCUUUAAACACUUAAAAGUGAUAUCUAUUUUACACAAUUUUAACACGAUAGCUGUUAUUUUUUCUAAAUAU